UACGGGGGGGGUAAGCGUUGCUCGGAAUCACUGGGCGUAAAGCGCACGUAGGCGGACUCUUAAGUCGGUGGUGAAAUCCUGGAGCUCAACUCCAGAACUGCCUUCGAUACUGAGAGUCUCGAGUCCGAGAGAGGUGAGUGGAACUGCGAGUGUAGAGGUGAAAUUCGUAGAUAUUCGCAAGAACACCAGUGGCGAAGGCGGCUCACUGGCUCGGUACUGACGCUGAGGUGCGAAAGCGUGGGGAGCAAACAGG
rnacentral:rRNA from 1 species